rnacentral:tRNA from 1 species
GUCUACGUAGUAUAAUUAUUACACUGGUCUUGUAAACCAGAAAUGGGAACCUACAUUCCCCAUAGACUC